rnacentral:misc_RNA from 1 species
AGCUUGAACAGUAGCAGUAGUUUAGUACUAGUUUUAGUUCUUCAAUUCAGUUUUAGUUUAUGCUUUAGGUUUGUUUUGUAAUCUGUUUAUUUUAAUUUUCAAACUUUAGUCAUAGUUGUAAUACUUUGGUAAUUAGUUUUUAUGAUUACAUUUGCACUUCUUUCCUUUAGUUUAGUUUAUUUUAUUUUAUCUUCUAAUAUGGAUAUAGUUAUUCUAUGAAUGCUCUUUGGUUUAAUUCUUGAUUUAACUGUUAGAUCUUAUUUCAUUACACCUUUUCAUCUUCUUGCACAUUAUUUUUUGUACUUUAUCUUUUAUUCAGUCCUAAUUUUGUUGAUAUUGAUGAGUUGUACAAUUUACUUUGAGCUGCAUAUGUUUAACAUCAUUUUGAGGUAAUAGCUUAUCCUUCUAUUAUUUAUGCUUAUGGUAUGUUGUCAAUGCUUAUGCUUUUGCUUACCCUACGCAACGGAUUAAACAACAUCUUAAGCAGUGUAAAUUC